UACGUAGGGAGCAAGCGUUGUCCGGAAUCAUUGGGCGUAAAGCGCGCGUAGGUGGCCUCAUAAGUCCGCUGUGAAAGUCAAAGGCUCAACCUUUGAAAGCCGGUGGAUACUGUGAGGCUAGAGUACGGAAGAGGCGAGUAGAAUUCCUGGUGUAGCGGUGGAAUGCGCAGAUAUCAGGAGGAACACCAAUAGCGAAGGCAGCUCGCUGGGACGUUACUGACACUGAGGCGCGAAAGCGUGGGGAGCGAACAGG
rnacentral:rRNA from 1 species